rnacentral:rRNA from 1 species
AGAGUUUGAUCAUGGCUCAGAACGAACGCUGGCGGCAGGCCUCAAACAUGCAAGUCUAGGGGGUGUAGCAAUACAUCACCGGCGGACGGGUGCGUAACGCGUGGGAAUAUACCUAUUGGUUCGGAACAACUGAGGGAAACUUCAGCUAAUACCGAAUAAGUCCUUACGGAGAAAGAUUUAUCGCCAAUAGAUUAGCCCGCGUUCGAUUAGCUAGUUGGUGGGGUAACGGCCCACCAAGGCGACGAUCGAUAGCUGUUCUGAGAGGAAGAUCAGCCACACUGGGACUGAGACACGGCCCAGACUCCUACGGGAGGCAGCAGUUGGGAAUCUUGGACAAUGGGGGAAACCCUGAUCCAGCCAUGCCGCGUGAGUGAUGAAGGCCUUCGGGUUGUAAAACUCUUUCGCGCACGACGAUAAUGACGGUAGUGCGAGAAGAAGCUCCGGCUAACUUCGUGCCAGCAGCCGCGGUAAUACGAAGGGGGCUAGCGUUGUUCGGAAUUACUGGGCGUAAAGCGCGCGCAGGCGGUCUUCCAAGUCAGUGGUGAAAGCCCGGAGCUCAACUCCGGAACUGCCAUUGAAACUGUGAGACUUGAGUAUGAGAGAGGUGAGUGGAAUUCCCAGUGUAGAGGUGAAAUUCGUAGAUAUUGGGAAGAACACCGGUGGCGAAGGCGGCUCACUGGCUCAUUACUGACGCUCAGNNGCGACAGCGUGGGGAUCAAACAGGAUUAGAUACCCUAGUAGUCC